rnacentral:rRNA from 1 species
UACGUAGGGUGCAAGCGUUGUCCGGAAUUAUUGGGCGUAAAGAGCUCGUAGGCGGUCUGUUGCGUCGGCUGUGAAAACCCGAGGCUCAACCUCGGGCCUGCAGCCGAUACGGGCAGACUAGAGUUCGGCAGGGGAGACUGGAAUUCCUGGUGUAGCGGUGAAAUGCGCAGAUAUCAGGAGGAACACCGGUGGCGAAGGCGGGUCUCUGGUACGUGACUGACGCUGAGACGCGAAAGCGUGGGGAGCAAACAGG